rnacentral:rRNA from 1 species
GACAGAGGGUGCAAACGUUGCUCGGAAUUACUGGGCGUAAAGCGCGUGUAGGCGGUUCCGCAAGUCAGGUGUGAAAGCCCAGGGCUCAACCCUGGAAGUGCACUUGAUACUACGGAGCUUGAGUACUGAAGAGGAGAGCGGAAUUCCCGGUGUAGAGGUGAAAUUCGUAGAUAUCGGGAGGAACACCAGUGGCGAAGGCGGCUCGCUGGGACGUUACUGACGCUGAGACGCGAAAGCGUGGGGAGCAAACAGGG